AGUGAGCGGCAAAGCUCAAAUUUGAAAGCUAGCACCUUCGGUGUUCGCGUUGUAAUUUGAAGAUAGUUUCCUUGAGUAGUCCUUUAUCUAUGUUCCUUGGAACAGGACGUCAUAAAGGGUGAGAACCCCGUAUGAUUUUGGAUACUACUCUUUGUGGGAUUCUAUCGAAGAGUCGAGUUGUUUGGGAAUAA
rnacentral:rRNA from 1 species